GUUUGCUCAUGGGAAUUUAAAAAUGCUUCGUAAAUUGUAAUAUGCGUAAUAUGCAUUCGUGGGUUUAGUACUUUAUGCCUGACAUAACAAGUUUACGCUGAGUAUUACCAUUCAUUAUAGCAGUUAUGUGCUAGGGCAUUGAAUAUCGAACAAUACGUCAAUUUCAAUGAUUUUGGGUUUUUUUGAGACACCCUGUAUAUCUGCAGUGACAACUCCUAAAGGCAGAAUAAUUUAGUCCAAUACCGUUAAAUUAAUCACUACAGUGUGUAUAAAAAAAGUACAGCCUUUCAAAUAUAAAUCAAGCAUAACGCCGUAUUCUAUUGAAUUAAUCUGACAAGCUAUACAGGGUGUAUAAAAAAAAACGCAACCUCGGAAUUUCUCAAGAAAUCGACAUGGUUUUAAAGACAAAAGAUUUUAGGCGCCUGGGAAUUUAAAAUGUCAAAAUUAUUGCACACGCGAGUGCAUAAAGCAAAAUUUAUGCAUUUAUUUAAUGCACAAGAACAGUAAUAAGAUCUAUUAGCAAUUCGAUUUCAAUUCCCAGGGGCUUAAAAUCUUUUAUGCUUAAGAAUUACAAAGUGAUUUCUUAGGAAAUUCCGAGGUUGCGUUUUUUUUUUAUACACCCUGUACUGUACAAGAAAUUGACAUUGUUUUAAGGACAAAAGAUUUUACGUCCCUGGGAAUUUAAAAUGGCACAACUGUCAAAAUUACUGCACACGCGAGUGCAUAAAGUAAAAUUUAUGCAUUUAUUUAAUGACACUUAAUAAGUUUUAAUCUUACAAGUACAGCACAACAACAGUUAAAUUAUCAUGCAGGGGCCUUGUCAGAUGUAGGCUAAUAUGAUAUACAGGGUGAGUAAAAAAAACUGACACCUUUGUUAUUCAAAUUAGCCGCGAAGGUAUCACUUUUUUUUACUCACCCUGUACUGUAUUACUAUUAGCAAUUCGAUUUCAUUUCCCAGGGGCCUAAAAUGUUUUAUGCUUAAGAAUUGCAGAGUGGAUUUCUUAGGAAAUUCCAAGGUUGCGUUUUUUUCUUAUACACCCUGUACACACUGUGUAAUUGCUUCGAAGAAGUUAGCGAGCCGUAAAACAAAAGACUUUCUAUUUAUGGGACAUCUACGAACAACUCAAUGAAAUACCCUGUACAAAACAAGCAGCAUUAAAAUGAAGUUAUAAUUGAUCUCUUUUGUAAAUAAGACGUGUUUUCGUCGCGUAUCAUUAAUUCAAAGCAGUUGAGAAGACUUCAGAACAAUCAAUGAAAUCAUGCACUUAUAAUUAUCGUUAAUUUGAAUUUGAAAGGCUAUAUACUUUUUUAUAUACUCACUGCCAGGGUGUCCCCAAAAAACGCAAAACUAUUGAAAUAACGUAUUGUUAGAAUUUGAAUGCCCUAGCACUAAGCUGAACGCAAAGAUGCCUAAAAU